ACAACACACACACACACACACACACUCACACUCACACGCACCACACCCUGCAUAAGGCCGGGCGAGGAAAGAGUUCCUGUCUUUGGGGGGUGCGAGCCCUGUGUUCCCCUUCCAGGGCAGUGAAGCGGACCUCAAUAAAACUAACCUAUUAUCCCAGGCUGACUUAAGUUACCGUGCCACACACUGCCUGUCCAGCGGGUUAUUUCCUCAGGGGCUUGCUUGUUGGCAUGGCAAAACACACCCAUCACACACACACACACACACACACACACACCAUACACACACACCACACGCACCACAUACACCACAUACACCACACACACAUCACACGCACCACAUUUUGGCACUGAACAUCGGAGGUUGUGUGUGCCUCCUCCUCCGGCGCCUCCCACAGCCUCCCAGCACCCAUCCUGCAGGACACAAGAAAUGGGCGGCCCAGGAACAAGUUGGCAAGGACAUGAGGCAGCACUCAGCACCCUGUGAGAAGAGGAAGAUGUGGCACUACCUGGCACUCCCUUCCUAUGCUGCCCUCAUGUGCGACACCCCAGCAUGCUGAGACACAACCUGUGGGAGUUGAAUCGAUGUUCAGCACCUCAGCCCAUAGAAGCACAAAAAGUGUUACCUUCACUAAUCAUAAAGUCAAUUGAUGAUAUGAGAAUAUGGAAGAAAGAAAAGACAGGUUUCAGAAAAAUAAGCAUUUCAAACCACAAUUUGUGGCUUCAUUUUUAUUUUUCGUAUCUGCCAUAGCUCAUUGCUACCUUGCAUUACAGUGAGGUAUGUGGCACUUCCGGUACUCCCUGCACUCCCUUCCUAUGCUGCCCUUAUGUGUGACACCCCAGUAUGCUGUGACACAACAGCCUGGCUCUCUCCCUACCCAGCACACCACCAUCAACCAUCAGCUUAAGGCCAACAAGACUGUGAAGAGGAGGAAGAAGAUAAGAAGGAAGAAGAGGAGGAGGAGGUAUCAUAUGGGGAGUAGGCUAAACAGUAAAAGGUGGCAUGUUCUGUCUAUCCGAGAGUUCUGAAGUGUUACGUACUGGGGGAAAUAUUUGUGUUAUGUACGUGGGAAUAUAUUUAAGUGUUACAUGUUAAUUUCUGGUGUAAUGGUGAUGAUAUUGCUGCUGCUGUGUUACAACACUUUCCAGGCCAACAAGCCUGAAGAGGAGGAAGAAGAUAAGAAGACAAGAGGAAGAGGAGGUAUCAUAUAUAUAGGAGGUGGCAUGUCCUGUCUAUCCGAGAGGCCUGAAGUGUUACAGGUAACUCUCGAUUUACGCGAGUUUGGUUUACGCGUUUUUUAAAUAACGCGGGGUCCAAAAUCCAAAAAAAAUAAAAUUAUUUACACGUUUUUUCCACUUAUACGCGAUAUUUUAUGGAGUGGCCACCAGAUGUCUCACGCAACUGGACUCACAUAGCGCCGCGGCCACACAGCAGAGCUCAGUUCUUCCCGCGCGCCACUUGAACAACAAUACAGUACCCACGCUGCCACGCUACUCAACAAUAGGGGUGGGCAGUUACCGGUACUAACGGUACUAGCUAUAUGGUACAGUACCGGUACCAGACUGCUCGGUACCGGUACCAAUACUAGC